rnacentral:rRNA from 1 species
AUUGAACGCUGGCGGCAGGCCUAACACAUGCAAGUCGAGCGCGACGCGGACGGUUGAGUAAUGUCUGAGAAACUGCCUGAUGGAGGGGUAUAACUACUAGAAACUAUCUCUAAUACCAUAUACCCUCAGAUGCGCCCAUAUGGGAUUAGCUAGUAGGUGGGGUAAUGGCUCCCCUAGGCGACGAUCCCUAGCUGAUCUGCGAGGAUGACCAGCAACACUGGAACUGAGACACGGUCCAGACUCCGACGGGAGGCAGCAGUGGGGAAUAGUGCACAAUGGGCGCAAGCCUGAUGCAGCCAUGCCGCGUGUGUGAAGAAGGCCUUCGGGUUGGAAAGCACUUUAAGCGAGGAGGCGUUACUCGCAGAAGAAGCACCGGCUAACUCCGUGCCAGCAGCCGCGGUAAUAC